rnacentral:rRNA from 1 species
AACGUGAGCAACCUACCCUUGACACUGGGAUAACAGUUGGAACAGCUGCUAAUACCGGAUAUGAACCUCACAGGCAUCUGAGAGGUUGGAAAGCUCCGACGGUCAAGGAUGGGCUCGCGGCCUAUCAGCUUGUUGGUGAGGUAACGGCUCACCAAGGCGACGACGGGUAGCCGGCCUGAGAGGGCGACCGGCCACACUGGGACUGAGAUACGGCCCAGACUCCUACGGGAGGCAGCAGUGGGGAAUAUUGCGCAAUGGGCGAAAGCCUGACGCAGCAACGCCGCGUGCGGGAUGACGGCCUUCGGGUUGUAAACCGCUUUCAGCAGGGACGAAACUGACGGUACCUGCAGAAGAAGCACCGGCUAACUACGUGCCAGCAGCCGCGGUGAUACGUAGGGUGCGAGCGUUGUCCGGAAUUAUUGGGCGUAAAGAGCUCGUAGGCGGUCUGUCGCGUCGGAAGUGAAAACUCGGGGCUCAACCCCGAGCCUGCUUUCGAUACGGGCAGACUUGAGGAAUGUAGG